CUGCCGCCGCGCAACAAGUCAUCGCCGUCCAACAUCGAUAUCGGCCAGGAUGAGGACAUGAUCAGCACGCUUCCCGACCACCUCCUCCUCGGAAUCCUCGAACGCCUCCACCUGCGUGAGGCGCUCCGUAUCGGCGCCGCCUCCACGCGCUGGCGCCACCUCCCACACCAGCUCUCGCACCUAGAGCUCGGGGUCGACCAGUUCCAUGGCGCCACGCCGGUCGAGAUCAUGGACGCGUUCACGGGCGCGGUACGGAGGUUGCUCUCCGUGUCUCCUCCUCCGUGCCCCGCCUGCAGUCGUGCUAUCAAGACCCUCGUCCUACGCUUCUACAUGUUGGACCCUCUGCAACUGAGCUCCAUCAGCGGCGGCGUUGAGGACGUCGUCAGCCGCGGCGAGACCGAAUGGCUCGAGUUUUAUAUAUUACCGCCGGUCUCGACCACCGACGACACCACUCAGCUGCUCGCCAAGAUGGGGCAGGCGGAGCGGUUCAUGUCCUUCUCCCGUGCCUGCCCCGUCGCCUUCCGGUGGCUCACCAGGCUAACCCUCGAGAACCUAGCGUUUGGAGAGGAUGACGUCGCGGGCCUUAUUAAAGCUUGUGAUAAGCUCAAGCACCUCAUCCUGAAAUCUUGCAGACUGGUUGAUCAUCACUCCGCACUCAAGAUCGACACGCCGUGCUCCGGGCUCCAGGAGCUUCGGUUCAUUGACUUUGCUUGCACAUGUAUCGAGCUCAUCUCCGUCCCCAAGCUAAGAGAAAUAUGGUGCUGGUCUUGGCCCUGCGAGAGCCCUCCGGUGCACUUCGGCCACGUUCCCCAACUUCUUCAAGUGAACCUCGGUUCACGUGCUGGGGUGUGGCAGGCGCCAUUUGCGCUAAGCGAAUGCUUGAGUGCCACCAAUCUGUCAAGAUUGUAUCUCAAUUUUGGUUGCGAAAUGAUUUGGAUUCAACCAGAACAUCCUAAGCACCUCACUACAAUAUUCAGAAACCUGACCGAGGUGUAUCUUUACUAUAUCUUUCCCGAGUGCGAUCUGAACUGGACCAUGUUUCUCGUCGAAGCUGCACCUGCCCUACUGAAUUUUACAUUGCUUCGAAAUCAACAUCCAUGUGUCAAACCGUCUGCACACAGUGCCCAGAAGACCAACAUGUUGUGGGAACCAUCCAAGGAUUGGAAGCACCUGAACUUGAAGUUACUGGUGAUGGCAGGGUUCGAGGAGGAAGACAAGGUGACAAACUAUCUAAGGCUGUUCAUGGAACGAGCCGUGGGCUUGAAGAGAAUCGAGCUGCGUGGUAAACACCCUUGUGAUAAGUGCAAUGCCAUGGACCUUGAACUUGAGUCCACAAGAUCCCUUGUUGACAAAGCUAGCAGGUAUCGGAUUAAGGAGCGACUC
rnacentral:rRNA from 1 species